GAUGAACGCUGGCGGCGUGCCUAAUACAUGCAAGUCGAGCGAACAGACGAGGAGCUUGCUCCUCUGACGUUAGCGGCGGACGGGUGAGUAACACGUGGAUAACCUACCUAUAAGACUGGGAUAACUUCGGGAAACCGGAGCUAAUACCGGAUAAUAUAUUGAACCGCAUGGUUCAAUAGUGAAAGACGGUUUUGCUGUCACUUAUAGAUGGAUCCGCGCCGCAUUAGCUAGUUGGUAAGGUAACGGCUUACUAAGGCAACGAUGCGUAGCCGACCUGAGAGGGGGAUCGGCCACACUGGAACUGAAACACGGUCCAGACUCCUACGGGAGGAAGCAGUGGGGAAUCUUCCGCAAUGGGCGAAAGCUUGACGGAGCAACGCCGCGUGAGUGAUGAAGGUCUUCGGAUCGUAAAACUCUGUUAUUAGGGAAGAACAAAUGUGUAAGUAACUAUGCACGUCUUGACGGUACCUAAUCAGAAAGCCACGGCUAACUACGUG
rnacentral:rRNA from 1 species